GUGAAUCAUCGAAUUUUUGAACGCAAAUUGCACUCUCCUCGGAGAGUAUGCCUGUUUGAGGGUCAGAUUAUAAAAAAUCGAAAUCGUUGUUGUUUUGCGGUGGUGUUAGUCGGAAAUUGGGUCAUCUUAAAUCUUUUGGUUUUAAGGGACUUAAAAUUUUCCUUUUGGUUCGAUGAACGUUUCUAAGAUUUAUUUCUUUAAAAGUUUAAGGUAUCGAUUUUUAUUGGAAGUGGCCAUCAUAUCGGUUUGUGUGUGUAAU
rnacentral:misc_RNA from 1 species